CCCUUAGAUGUCCUGGGCCGCACGCGCGUUACACUGAUGCAUUCAACGAGCCUAUAACCUUGGCCGAGAGGCCUGGGCAAUCUUGUUAACGUGCAUCGUGAUAGGGAUAGAUUAUUGAAAUUAUUAAUCUUGAACGAGGAAUUCCUAGUAAACGCAGAUCAUCAAUCUGCAUUGAUUUCGUCCCUGCCCUUUGUACACACCGCCCGUCGCACCUACCGAUUGGAUGGUCCGGUGAAGCCUCGGGAUUGUGGUUCUUGCCGCUUUAUUGUGGCGUGACCGCGAGAACUUGUCUAAACCUUAUCAUCUAGAGGAAGGUGAAGUCGUAACA
rnacentral:rRNA from 1 species